GUAACUUAGGGAUAAGGGGUGCCACCAUCAGGUGGCCGCAGAGAAUAGGCCCAAGCGACUGUUUACCAAAAACAUAGGUUUCUGCUAAGUCGCAAGACGAUGUAUAGGAGCUGACGCCUGCCCGGUGCUGGAAGGUUAAGGGGAUCUGUUAGAGCAAUCGAAGCAGUGAACUUAAGCCCCAGUAAACGGCGGCCGUAACUAUAACGGUCCUAAGGUAGCGAAAUUCCUUGUCGGG
rnacentral:rRNA from 1 species